UGGGGAAUAUUGGACAAUGGGCGAAAGCCUGAUCCAGCAACGCCGCGUGAGGGAUGACGGCCUUCGGGUUGUAAACCUCUUUCAGCAGGGACGAAGCGCAAGUGACGGUACCUGCAGAAGAAGCACCGGCCAACUACGUGCCAGCAGCCGCGGUAAUACGUAGGGUGCGAGCGUUGUCCGGAAUUAUUGGGCGUAAAGGGCUCGUAGGCGGUUUGUCACGUCGGGAGUGAAAACUCGGGGCUUAACCCCGAGCCUGCUUCCGAUACGGGCUGACUAGAGGUAUGCAGGGGAGAACGGAAUUCCUGGUGUAGCGGUGAAAUGCGCAGAUAUCAGGAGGAACACCGGUGGCGAAGGCGGUUCUCUGGGCAUUACCUGACGCUGAGGAGCGAAAGUGUGGGGAGCGAACAGGAUUAGACUACCCUGGUAGUCCAACACCGUAAACGUUGGGCGCUAGGUGUGGGACUCAUUCCACG
rnacentral:rRNA from 1 species